rnacentral:rRNA from 1 species
ACGCACGCUGGCGGCGUGCUUAACCCCUGCAAGUCGCACGGAAAGGCCCUGCUUUUGUGGGGUGCUCGAGUGGCGAACGGGUGAGUAACACGUGAGUAACCUGCCCUUGACUUUGGGAUAACUUCAGGAAACUGGGGCUAAUACCGGAUAGGAGCUCCUGCUGCCUGGUGGGGGUUGGAAAGUUUCGGCGGUUGGGGAUGGACUCGCGGCUUAUCAGCUUGUUGGUGGGGUAGUGGCUUACCACGGCUUUGACGGGUAGCCGGCCUGAGAGGGUGACCGGCCACAUUGGGACUGAGAUACGGCCCAGACUCCUACGGGAGGCAGCAGUGGGGAAUAUUGCACAAUGGGCGGAAGCCUGAUGCAGCAACGCCGCGUGCGGGAUGACGGCCUUCGGGUUGUAAACCGCUUUCGCCUGUGACGAAGCGUGAGUGACGGUAAUGGGUAAAGAAGCACCGGCUAACUACGUG